AUUGAACGCUGGCGGCAUGCUUUACACAUGCAAGUCGAACGGUAACAGGCCUUCGGGUGCUGACGAGUGGCGAACGGGUGAGUAAUGCAUCGGAACGUACCCAGAGGUGGGGGAUAACGCAGCGAAAGCUGAGCUAAUACCGCAUGUGAUCUGAGGAUGAAAGCGGGGGACCGAGCAGCAAUGUUUGGCCUCGCGCCUUUGGAGCGGCCGAUGUCGGAUUAGCUAGUUGGUGGGGUAAAGGCCUACCAAGGCGACGAUCCGUAGCUGGUCUGAGAGGACGACCAGCCACACUGGGACUGAGACACGGCCCAGACUCCUACGGGAGGCAGCAGUGGGGAAUUUUGGACAAUGGGCGCAAGCCUGAUCCAGCAAUGCCGCGUGCGGGAAGAAGGCCUUCGGGUUGUAAACCGCUUUUGGCAGGAACGAAACGGUGUCCGCUAAUACCGGGCGCUAAUGACGGUACCUGCAGAAUAAGCACCGGCUAACUACGUG
rnacentral:rRNA from 1 species